rnacentral:rRNA from 1 species
CAGCACGGUAAUACGUAGGUGGCAAGCGUUGUCCGGAAUUAUUGGGCGUAAAGGGCUCGCAGGCGGUUUCUUAAGUCUGAUGUGAAAGCCCCCGGCUCAACCGGGGAGGGUCAUUGGAAACUGGGAAACUUGAGUGCAGAAGAGGAGAGUGGAAUUCCACGUGUAGCGGUGAAAUGCGUAGAGAUGUGGAGGAACACCAGUGGCGAAGGCGACUCUCUGGUCUGUAACUGACGCUGGGGAGCGAAAGCGUGGGGAGCGAGCAGGAUUAGAUACCCCGGUAGUCCCUGUCUCUUAUACACAU